GCCCUAGCUUCAACAGCACAUACACUAAAAUAAAAAAGAUACAGAGAAGAUUAGCAUGGCUUCUGCAUGCGGAUGACACUCAAAUUCGUGAAUCAUUCCAUAUUUUU